CCUACGGGUGGCAGCAGUGAGGAAUAUUGGUCAAUGGCCGGAAGGCUGAACCAGCCAUGCCGCGUGAAGGUCAGUGCCCUAUGGGCGUUAAACUUCUUUUGUGCGGGAGCAAUAAUGGUCACGUGUGGCCAGACGAGAGUACCGUACGAAUAAGCAUCGGCUAACUCCGUGCCAGCAGCCGCGGUAAUACGGAGGGGGCCAGCGUUAUCCGGAUUUACUGGGUGUAAAGGGAGCGUAGACGGGAGUGCAAGUCUGGAGUGAAAGGCGGGGGCUCAACCCCCGGACUGCUAUGGAAACUGUACGGCUUGAGUGCAGGAGAGGUAAGUGGAAUUCGUAGUGUAGCGGUGAAAUGCGUAGAUAUUAGGAGGAACUCCGAUUGCGAAGGCAGCUUACUAAACUGCCACUGACAUUGAUGCUCGAAAGUGUGGGUAUCAAACAGGAUUAGAUACCCCGGUAGUC
rnacentral:rRNA from 1 species